CCAGCAGCAGCAACUCGCUCAGGUCCCCUUCCACACUGUGGAAGCUUUGUUCUUUUGCUCUUCACAAUAAAUCUUACUGCUGCUCACUCUUUGGGUCCACACUACCUUUAUGAGCUGUUAACACUCACUGCAGAAGUCUGCAGCUUCACUCCUGAAGUCAGUGAGACCACAAACGCACCCGGAGGAACAAACAACUCCAGACACACCACCUUUAAGAACUGUAACACUCACUGCGAAGGUCUGCGGCUUCACUGCUGAAGUCAGUGAGACCACGAACCCACUGGAAGGAAGAAACUCCAGACACAUCUGAACAUCUGAAGGAACAAACUCCAGACACAACAUCUUUAAGAACUGUGACACUCACCGCGAGGGUCCGCGGCUUCUUUCUUGAAGUCAGAGAGACCAAGAACCCACCAGAAGGAAUAAAUUCCAGACACAUUUGGCGACACAGAUGGGACUAUCACCAAGUGAAAGUUAUGAAGGUCAUGAUGGCAGCAACCACAAUGGAUAAAACUUGCAAAGAACCAUGGUGGUCCAGGUCACAUAGGAAAAGUGAGACGGAAUGAUCUGAUAAACUAGGCAACGUGGAACACAUUUUGAUCCUGUACCUUUUCAUCUAUGACAUCUAUUUUGUCGUAAUAUCACAUGAGUGGUGAGUCGCAGCUGGCACUCUUAGGAAUGUAGCAAAUGUUUCCUGUGGUACUUCUUAUUGAAAAAAG
rnacentral:lncRNA from 10 species